UCGAAACCUGCACGAGCAGAGCGACCCGCGAACUCGUUUACCGACCCGGGGGUCGGGGCCUCGCCCCCGCCCCCCAAACGCCGGGAUGCCCUCCCGCCCCACCCGGGGCGCGGUCGCCCCCGGCGCCAACGAACCCCGGCGCGGAUUGCGCCAAGGACCAUGUANGCUGAGCGUGUCCCGCUGCCCCGGUCACCCGGCGGGAGCGGCGACUGCGCGNUGUAAUCGAAAAAACGACUCUCGGCAACGGAUAUCUCGGCUCUCGCAUCGAUGAAGAACGUAGCGAAAUGCGAUACUUGGUGUGAAUUGCAGAAUCCCGUGAACCAUCGAGUCUUUGAACGCAAGUUGCGCCCGAAGCCGUUCGGCCGAGGGCACGUCUGCCUGGGCGUCACGCAUCGCGUUGCCCCCCACCCCGCNAGGGGAGGGGGCGGAUGUUGGCCUCCCGUGCGCCNGUGAGGCGCGCGGCUGGCCUAAACGAGGAGCCCGCGGCGAGGGAGCCGCGACGAUUGGUGGUACGCAUCGCGUCGCGCGCCCCGCAGCCUUCCGGCGCUCGCAGGACCCGAGGGGACAGCCCCCGAAAACCCUUGCGACCCCAGGUCAGGCGGGACUACCCGCUGANUUUA
rnacentral:rRNA from 1 species